CUCAACGCCAGCCAAGAUACAAAAUCUGUUCCAAACCGCGCAGUUAACCUCCAAGCAGUGUCCCAGAAGAAAGCAAUACUUGCGAGUCUUCGCUUAGGCGCAGAGGUGGGAGGCGCGGGAAAGAGGGUGGCAAUGUGCCAAUCCAAAAAUGUCAAUUCCAGCUCCUGUUGUACCCGUGAAUGGCCAUUUCACACUGUUAUGGCCAAUGCAAUACAAGCAAAAGUCAGUGGCUAGAACUUCUGGGACAUCUCCUGAAAAGGAGCAUGGACUUAGAGACACAGUCUCACAAAAUGGAUCAAGGACCUAGGAAUUAAACCAGAGACUCUGUGUCU